rnacentral:rRNA from 1 species
UAGGGAAUAUUAGUAAUGGGCGAAAGCCUGAACUAGCAACGCCGCGUGUGCGAAGAAGGCCUUCGGGCUGUAAAGCACUUUUUGAGAGGAUGAGGAAGGACGGUACUCUCAGAAUAAGUCUCGGCUAACUACGCGCCAGCAGCCGCGGUAACACGUAGGAGGCGAACGUUAUCCGGAUUUACUGGGCGUAAAGCGCGUGUAGGUGGUUUGGUAAGUAGGGCGUGAAAGCUCCUGGCUCAACUGGGAGAGGCCGUUCUAAACUGCCGAACUAGAGGAUGGUAGAGGGAGGUGGAAUUCCGGGUGUAGCGGUGGAAUGCGCAGAUAUCCGGAGGAGCACCAGUGGCGAAAGCGGCCUCCUGGACCAUUCCUGACACUCAGACGCGAAAGCUAGGGUAGCAAACGG